UGGGGUGUAGCCCAGUGGUAAAGCACUUGACAAGCAUGCAUGAGGCCCUGGGUUCCAUCCCCAGCACUGCAA
rnacentral:tRNA from 1 species